AGAUACAAUCUUUGCAGGACCAGCUUGACCAUAUUUCAUCCUUUUUGCAGAGAUUUGCUCCUCCAGUACAUAACUAAAUCUUUGCACUGAUAUGGCCAGUUUCAAUCACAUGGAGAGAGGGGACAGGAUUGCUUUUUUCCUUUGAUUUUCUUUAUUGAAACAAAAGCACUGUGUUUUUAUCUUAUAAACCGAAAGGAGUAGAAGUGAAAGCUCAAUUUUCAGGUUGGCUGCUCUGCGACGCGAUGAUCCUAGUACUUUUGUUUUGAGCAACUGCUUCAUACCGUCAUGGUGUUAAGAACCAACCAACAAUUAUAUGCUGUCUUGUAACACAUCAGUUUUGAGGGUGUCAAAAUCAGUUGAACAGGUCGACUGUUUUUAGCCUUUGU